UACGGUUCUUUAUGGUAGAACAGUUGACUGUUAAUCAAUUGGUCGUAGGUUCGAUCCCUACCGCCGGAGCCA
rnacentral:tRNA from 1 species